GGUGCUUGCACCUUAUGGUUAGCGGCGGACGGGUGAGUAACACGUGGGCAACCUGCCUGUAAGACUGGGAUAACUUCGGGAAACCGGAGCUAAUACCGGAUAAUCCUUUUCCUCUCAUGAGGAAAAGCUGAAAGUCGGUUUCGGCUGACACUUACAGAUGGGCCCGCGGCGCAUUAGCUAGUUGGUGAGGUAACGGCUCACCAAGGCGACGAUGCGUAGCCGACCUGAGAGGGUGAUCGGCCACACUGGGACUGAGACACGGCCCAGACUCCUACGGGAGGCAGCAGUAGGGAAUCUUCCGCAAUGGACGAAAGUCUGACGGAGCAACGCCGCGUGAGCGAUGAAGGCCUUCGGGUCGUAAAGCUCUGUUGUUAGGGAAGAACAAGUACCGGAGUAACUGCCGGUACCUUGACGGUACCUAACCAGAAAGCCACGGCUAACUACGUGCCAGCAGCCGCGGUAAUACGUAGGUGGCAAGCGUUGUCCGGAAUUAUUGGGCGUAAAGCGCGCGCAGGCGGUCCUUUAAGUCUGAUGUGAAAGCCCACGGCUCAACCGUGGAGGGUCAUUGGAAACUGGGGGACUUGAGUACAGAAGAGGAAAGCGGAAUUCCACGUGUAGCGGUGAAAUGCGUAGAGAUGUGGAGGAACACCAGUGGCGAAGGCGGCUUUCUGGUCUGUAACUGACGCUGAGGCGCG
rnacentral:rRNA from 1 species